rnacentral:rRNA from 1 species
AUUGAACGCUGGCGGCAGGCCUAACACAUGCAAGUCGAACGAGUGGCGGACGGGUGAGUAAUGUCUGGGAAACUGCCUGAUGGAGGGGGCUAACUACUGGAAACGGUAGCUAAUACAGCAUACCAUACAAUGUGCCCAUAUGGGAUGAGCUAGUUGGUUGGGUAACGGCUCACCAAGGGGACGAUCCCUAGCUGGUCUGAUAGGAUGACCAGCCACACUGGAACUGAGACACGGUCCAGACUCCUACGGGAGGCAGCAGUGGUGAAUAUUGCACAAUGGGCGCAAGCCUGAUGCAGCCAUGCCGCGUGUAUGAAGAAGGCCUUCGGGUUGUAAAGUACUUUCAGCGGGGAGGCGUUACCCGCAGAAGAAACACCGGCUAACUCCGUGCCAGCAGCCGCGGUAAUAC